AUUGAACGCUGGCGGCAGGCCUAACACAUGCAAGUCGAGCGGAGCGGCGGACGGAUGAGUAAUGCCUAGGAAUCUGCCUGGUAGUGGGGGAUAACGUCCGGAAAUGGGCGCUAAUACCGUAUAUUAUAAGAUGAGCCUAGGUCGGAUUAGCUAGUUGGUGGGGUAAAGGCCUACCAAGGCGACGAUCCGUAACUGGUCUGAGAGGAUGAUCAGUCACACUGGAACGGAGACACGGUCCAGACUCCUACGUGAGGCAGCAGUGGGGAAUAUUGGACAAUGGGCGAAAGCCUGAUCCAGCGAUGCCGCGUGUGUGAAGAAGGUCUUCGGAUUGUAAGGCACUUUAAGUUGGGAGGCGUUACCAACAGAAUAAGCACCGGCUAACUUCGUGCCAGCAGCCGCGGUAAUUC
rnacentral:rRNA from 1 species